AAACACUCGAUUAGUUAGCUGGUUAGAUAUUUAACGAUUGACUAACAAUAAAGAAGUGAUAUUGGACCAGUGCAUGUUUUGUCUUUGGUAUGAUGAC